rnacentral:misc_RNA from 1 species
AAAGGCGAGAAGGAAGGGGAAGGGCAGAAUUCCGUGAAUCAUCGAAUCUUGGAACGCACAUUGCGCCCUCUGGCAUUCCGGGGGGGAUGCCUGUCCGAGCGUCAUUACGCACCCUCAAGCCCGGCGUGUGUGAUGGGCCCCGGCGUCUCGUUCGCGAGACGGGCCCGAAAGGCAGCGGCGGCGUCGACCCGAUGAGCCCGAGCGUAUGGGGACUUCUGUCACACGUUCGCGGUGCGGACCGGCGCCUGCUUGACUUUUCUGAUUAUCCAGGUUGACCUCGGAUCAGGUAGGGAUACCCGCUGAACUUAAGC